GAUGUAGAAAGCCUUCCUCAAGUUACAGCUACCCGAGAAAGACACUCCCAUAGGCGGCAAUAACAAGAAGUAUAGUUGAGAUAAAGUUUUAUUUCUCGUUAAACGACAAAGGUUUUUAAUAUAUAGAUAACGGCAACAUAUUAUGCUUAUUUUUAGAGUAGAUAGAGAUAUAGCUAAUUAGAGCUCCAACGAAUUUAAAUGCGGAGACUUGGAGUAGUUGGUGUGGUGGUGCAAGU